AUUGAACGCUGGCGGUAGGCUUAACACAUGCAAGUCGAGCGGGGGAAGGUAGCUUGCUACCGGACCUAGCGGCGGACGGGUGAGUAAUGCUUAGGAAUCUGCCUAUUAGUGGGGGACAACAUCUCGAAAGGGAUGCUAAUACCGCAUACGUCCUACGGGAGAAAGCAGGGGAUCUUCGGACCUUGCGCUAAUAGAUGAGCCUAAGUCGGAUUAGCUAGUGGGUGGGGUAAAGGCCUACCAAGGCGACGAUCUGUAGCGGGGCUGAGAGGAUGAUCCGCCACACUGGGACUGAGACACGGCCCAGACUCCUACGGGAGGCAGCAGUGGGGAAUAUUGGACAAUGGGGGGAACCCUGAUCCAGCCAUGCCGCGUGUGUGAAGAAGGCCUUAUGGUUGUAAAGCACUUUAAGCGAGGAGGAGGCUACUUUAGUUAAUACCUAGAGAUAGUGGACGUUACUCGCAGAAUAAGCACCGGCUAACUCUGUGCCAGCCGCCGCCGUAA
rnacentral:rRNA from 1 species